UACGAAGGGGCUAGCGUUGCUCGGAAUCACUGGGCGUAAAGCGCACGUAGGCGGAUUGCUAAGUCAGGGGUGAAAUCCUGGAGCUCAACUCCAGAACUGCCUUGAUACUGGCGAUCUUGAGUCCGGGAGAGGUGAGUGGAACUGCGAGUGUAGAGGUGAAAUUCGUAGAUAUUCGCAAGAACACCAGUGGCGAAGGCGGACUCACUGGCCCGGUACGUGACGCUGAGGUGCGAAAGCGAGG
rnacentral:rRNA from 1 species